GUCUACGGCCAUACCACCCUGAACGCGCCCGAUCUCGUCUGAUCUCUGAAGCUAAGCAGGGUCAGGCCUGGUUAGUACUUGGAUGGGAUAGUCAGUUGUGUUUCCUUAUUGCGAUCAGCUGUCCUAGCUG
ensembl:rRNA 5S_rRNA 5S ribosomal RNA